rnacentral:rRNA from 1 species
AACCUUUACAAUGCACGAAAGUGUGAUAAGGGAAUCCCAAGUGCUUUGCUUUUAGUAAGGCUUUUGCCAAGAGUAAAAAUCUUGGCGAAUAAAUGGUGGGCAAGACUUGUGCCAGCCGCCGCGGUAACACCAGCGCCAUAAGUGGCAACCGCUUUUAUUGGGCCUAAAGCGUCCGUAGCCGGUUCAGUAAAUUUUCUGUGAAAUCGUUGGGCUUAACCUAACGUCGUGCAGGAAAGACUUCUGGACUUGGGACCGGGAAGCGUCAGAGGUAUUCCUGAGGGAGCGGUAAAAUGCUAUAAUCUCAGGAGGACCACCGGUGGCGAAAGCGUCUGACGGGAACGGAUCCGACGGUCAGGGACGAAAGCUAGGGGAGCAAAACGG